AGUGAACGCUGGCGGCAGGCCUAACACAUGCAAGUCGAGCGGCAGCGCGGGGGCAACCCUGGCGGCGAGCGGCGGACGGGUGAGUAACGCGUGAGCAAUCUGCCUUACACAAAGGGAUAGCCUCGGGAAACUGGGAUUAAUACCAUAUGACACUUGGUAAUCGCAUGAGGACCAAGUCAAAGAUUUUAUCGGUGUAAGAUGAGCUCGCGUCUGAUUAGCUAGUUGGUGGGGUAAAGGCCUACCAAGGCGACGAUCAGUAGCCGGCCUGAGAGGGUGAACGGCCACACUGGAACUGAGACACGGUCCAGACUCCUACGGGAGGCAGCAGUGGGGAAUAUUGCACAAUGGGCGCAAGCCUGAUGCAGCGACGCCGCGUGAGCGAAGAAGGUUUUCGGAUCGUAAAGCUCUGUCCUCUGGGAAGAAAAAAAUGACGGUACCAGAGGAGGAAGCCCCGGCUAACUACGUG
rnacentral:rRNA from 1 species